rnacentral:rRNA from 1 species
UACGUAGGGGGCAAGCGUUGUCCGGAUUUAUUGGGCGUAAAGAGCGUGUAGGCGGCCAAGCAGGUCAGCUGUGAAAACUCGAGGCUCAACCUCGAGACGUCGGUUGAAACCGCUUGGCUAGAGUCCGGAAGAGGAGAGUGGAAUUCCCGGUGUAGCGGUGAAAUGCGCAGAUAUCGGGAAGAACACCCGUGGCGAAGGCGGCUCUCUGGGACGGUACUGACGCUGAGACGCGAAAGCGUGGGGAGCGAAUAGG